CACAUUGGGACUGAGACACGGCCCAGACUCCUGCGGGAGGCAGCAGUGGGGAAUAUUGCACAAUGGGGGAAACCCUGAUGCAGCGACGCCGCGUGAGCGAGGAAGUACCUCGCUACCUAAAGCUCUGUCAGCAGGGAAGAAAAUGACAAUACCUGACCAAGAAGCCCCGGCUAACUACGUGCCAGCAGCCGCGGUAAUACGUAGGGGGCAAGCGUUAUCCGGAUUCACUGGGCGUAAAGGGAGCGCAGGCGGCACGGCAAGUCUGAUGUGAAAACCCGGGGCUCAACCCCGGGACUGCAUUGGAAACUGCCGGGCUGGAGUGUCGGAGGGGUAAGCGGAAUUCCUGGUGUAGCGGUGAAAUGCGUAG
rnacentral:rRNA from 1 species